GAGGUAGAACCGAAAAUAGUAAGCACUGCUAAUCCUUACAUCCCGUGGUUAAAAUCCGCGGCUUCCUCA
rnacentral:tRNA from 1 species